AAAAUCCGUCGACUUUUUAAAUCGUGAGGGUUCAAGUCCCUCUAUCCCCAAAAAAGG
rnacentral:tRNA from 15 species